AGGAGAGGGGCGGGACUUCUCCGGGUCAAGGCCAGGUCUCUUCCCUGCUCGGUGCUAUGUUCCUGUUCCACGGGGUGGCGGGUCCUGGGAGGGAGAAGCCCAGACCCAGUGGACACUGACAUUGUCUCUCGCUGUUCCCAGCCUUUUCCAGGCGUGUGACUUAAUCCGUUUCCACAGCCAGACCUUUUCUCCGUGAGUUCCUCAGCCAGGACUGCUGCCAUGCCGGUGACUGUUACCCACCCAACCGUCACGACCACCAUGCGGUCCCCCACCGUCGUAGGGUCCUCUAGGGCCCUGAUCCAGCCCCUGGGCCUCCUCCGCCUGCUGCAGCUGGUGUCCACCUGCGUGGCCUUGUCACUGGUGGCCAGCGUGGGCGCCUGGAAGGGGCCUAUGGGUAACUGGUCCAUGUUCACCUAGUGUUUCUGCUUUGCCAUGACCCUGGUCAUCCUCCUCGUGGAGCUGGGCGGCUCCCAGGCCCGCUUCCCCUUGUUUUGGCGCAACUUCCCCAUCACCUUUGCCUGCUAUGCGGCCCUCUUGUGCCUCUCGGCCUCCAUCAUCUACCCCACCACCUACUUGCAGUUCCUGUCCCACGGCCGUUCCCGCGACCACGCCAUCGCCGCCAUCGUCUUCUCUGGCAUCGCCUGUGUGGCUUACGCCACCGAAGUAACCUGGACCCGGGCCCGGCCCGGCGAGAUCACUGACUACAUGGCCUCCGAGCUGGGGCUGCUGAAGGUGCUGGAGACCUUCGUGGCCUGCCUCAUCUUCGUGUUCAUCAAUAGCCCCUACGUGUACCACAACCGGCCGGCCCUGGAGUGGUGGGUGGCGGUGUACGCCCUCUGCUUCGUCCUGGCGGCCCUCACUAUCCUGCUGAGCCUGGGGCACUGCACCAACAUGCUGCCCAUCCGCUUCCCCAGUUUCCUGUUGGGGCUGGCCUUGCUGUCCGUCCUCCUCUAUGCCACUGCCCUUGUCCUCUGGCCCCUCUACCAGUUCAACGAGAAGUAUGGUGUCCAGCCCUGGCAGACGAGAGAUGUGAGCUGCAGCGACAGAAACCCCUACCUUGUGUGUAUCUGGGACCGCCGACUGGCUGUGACCAACCUGACGGCCGUCAACUUGCUGGCCUAUGUGGGCGACCUGGUGUACUCUGCCCACCUGGUUUUUGUCAAGGUCUAAGACUCCCAAAGGGCCCCGUUUGCCUCUCCAACCUCUUCAUCCUGCCCCCGCUGAGUUUUCUUUAUUGAGUAUUCAUUUCCUGGGUUUUCCUCUUCCCUAUCUCCCCUCCUCCCCUUUUCUUUCCUUCCCAAUUCAUCGCACUUUCCCAGUUCUCUGAUGUAUGUUCUUCCCUUUCCUCUGCUGUUUCCUUCUUGUUUUGUUCUGUUGCCCACAACCUGUUUUCACCCGUUUCUCUUUUUCCACUCUCUCUUUUGUUUCUUUCCUCUCAAUUCUUUUCUAGGUUUCCUGUUGGUUUUCUUAUCUGCCUAUUUCCCGACCAUCUUCUCCUAUUUCCUGGGGAGCCCUGAGGCUUUUCUUCUCCUGCCCCCAAGCACCUCCAGCGGUGAUGAGCUCCACACCCCCACACCCAUUGCAGCUGUGGCGCCACGUCCUCCCAAGGGGCCUUCUGCCCGCCCCCGCCCUAGCUGUGCCUUAGUCAGUGUGUACUUGUGUGUGUUUGGGGGAGUGGGAAUUGGGCCCCCUUUCUCCCAGUGGAGGAAGGUGUGCUGUGCACCUCCCCUUUAAAUUAAAAAAAAUGUAUGUAUCUCUGGAAGUCAAUAAUUUCCAGUGAGCGGGAGGCUUCAAGCGCAGACCCUGGGUCCCUAGACCUCGCCUAGCACUCUGCCUUGCCAGAGAUUGGCUCCAGAAUUUGUGCCAGACUUACAGAAAACCCACUGCCUAGAGGCCAUCUUAAAGGAAGCAAUGGAUGGAUCCCUUUCAUCCCAACUGUUCUUCGCGGUAUCAAAAAAAAAAAAAAAAAAAAAAAGUCAGGCAAAGAACCGUAAGAUCUUGAAGACAACUGUUUGAAGUAUUUGUGAGGGACAGUGAUGUGGCCUUCCAGCCUCAGUGUUAAAAAUAACAUUUAACACUGUGUCCUUUUAACACGGUGUCCUUCAGAGCGUGUGGAAAGAAAUAAGUAAAUAAAUAAAUAAACAACA
ensembl:lncRNA MYADML myeloid associated differentiation marker like (pseudogene)